AGGGGAUGUUUUCACUAUUGUUGAGUAGGAAUUACACUUUUCUACCUCCCACCCCACCUGUGAGGAGGCUGGGAAUGCACAAGGAGUUGGGAGGGGCACAGCCAGGAGAGCUGACCUCAAGAUACCACAGGGAUAUAUCCCAGACCAAAUGGAGUCAUGCUCAGUACAUAAACUGGGAGAAGAAGAAGGGAGGAGUGGAGGUUCAGAGUGAUGGUGUUUAUCUUCUCAUGUCACUGUUCCACAUGAUGGAGUCCUGCUUUCCUGGAGAUGGCUGAACACCUGCCUGCCCAUGGAACAUGAGAAUGCUAUAAAUUGCUGGGGACUCAAACCAAGUUUUCUUACAUGUUGACAGAAAACUCAGCAGAACGGAACCUGGAGACAUCCUCCAUUGAUGUGCAGCCUCCUGAGUUCCAGCAAAGGCACUUGGCCUGCACAAGCACCUUGAAUAUGGCAGGAACUGAAGUAACCGGUGAAGAACA